UACGUAGGCAGCGAGCGUUGUUCGGAGUUACUGGGCGUAAAGCGUGCGUAGGCGGUUUUGUAAGUUUGGUGUGAAAUCUCUGGGCUCAACUCAGAGUCUGCUGUGGAAACUGCCGUGCUUGAGUGUGGGAGAGGUGAGUGGAAUUCCCGGUGUAGCGGUGAAAUGCGUAGAGAUCCGGAGGAACACCAGUGGCGAAGGCGACACGCUGGGCCGUACCUGACACUGAUGCGCGACAGCAUGGGGAGCAAACAGG
rnacentral:rRNA from 1 species